CUAUGUUCCUUGGAACAGGACGUCACAGAGGGUGAGAAUCCCGUGCGAUGAAAUGACCCGGGUCUGUGUAAAGUUCCUUCGACGAGUCGAGUUGUUUGGGAAUGCAGCUCUAAGUGGGUGGUAAAUUCCAUCUAAAGCUAAAUAUUGGCGAGAGACCGAUAGCGAACAAGUACAGUGAUGGAAAGAUGAAAAGAACUUUGAAAAGAGAGUGAAAAAGUACGUGAAAUUGUUGAAAGGGAAGGGCUUGAGAUCAGACUUGGUAUUUUGCAUGCUGCUCUCUCGGGGGCGGCCGCUGCGGUUUACCGGGCCAGCAUCGGUUUGGAGCGGCAGGAUAAUGGCGGAGGAAUGUGGCACGGCUUCUGCUGUGUGUUAUAGCCUCUGA
rnacentral:rRNA from 1 species